rnacentral:misc_RNA from 1 species
GAUGAAGAACGCAGCGAAAUGCGAUAAGUAAUGUGAAUUGCAGAAUUCCGUGAAUCAUCGAAUCUUUGAACGCACAUUGCGCCCCCUGGCAUUCCGGGGGGCAUGCCUGUCCGAGCGUCAUUUCUGCCCUCAAGCACGGCUUGUGUGUUGGGUGUGGUCCCCGGGGGACCUGCCCGAAAGGCAGCGGCGACGUCCGUCUGGUCCUCGAGCGUAUGGGGCUCCGUCACUCGCUCGGGAAGGACCUGCGGAGGUUGGUCACCACCAUAUUUUACCACGGUUGACCUCGGAUCAGGUAGGAGUUACCCGCUGAACUUAAGCAUAUCAAUAAGCGGAGGA